rnacentral:rRNA from 1 species
AAAUUGAAGAGUUUGAUCAUGGCUCAGAUUGAACGCUGGCGGCAGGCCUAACACAUGCAAGUCGAACGGUAACAGGAAGCAGCUUGCUGCUUCGCUGACGAGUGGCGGACGGGUGAGUAAUGUCUGGGAAACUGCCUGAUGGAGGGGGAUAACUACUGGAAACGGUGGCUAAUACCGCAUAACGUCGCAAGACCAAAGAGGGGGACCUUUGGGCCUCUUGCCAUCAGAUGUGCCCAGAUGGGAUUAGCUUGUUGGUGAGGUAACGGCUCAC